rnacentral:rRNA from 1 species
AUUGAACGCUGGCGGAAUGCUUUACACAUGCAAGUCGAGCGGCAGCGCGGGGGCAACCCUGGCGGCGAGCGGCGAACGGGUGAGUAACAUAUCGGAACGUACCCAGUAAUGGGGGAUAACUACCCGAAAGGGUAGCUAAUACCGCAUACGCCCUGAGGGGGAAAGCGGGGGAUCGAAAGACCUCGCGUUAUUGGAGCGGCCGAUAUCGGAUUAGCUAGUUGGUGAGGUAAAGGCUCACCAAGGCGACGAUCCGUAGCUGGUCUGAGAGGACGACCAGCCACACUGGAACUGAGACACGGUCCAGACUCCUACGGGAGGCAGCAGUGGGGAAUUUUGGACAAUGGGGGCAACCCUGAUCCAGCCAUUCCGCGUGAGUGAAGAAGGCCUUCGGGUUGUAAAGCUCUUUCGGCAGGAACGAAACGGCGGGCUCUAACAUAGCCUGUCACUGACGGUACCUGUAUAAGAAGCACCGGCUAACUACGUGCCAGCAGCCGCGGUAA